GCGUGUGCACGUGCGCAUUGGCGCUUCCGGCGCUGCGAGGAGGGCCCGCGAGGAUCGUAGUUUGCUUCGUCGUGCUAUCCUGCAUCCCAGAGCAGCGAUCUCGGCGAGAUCUGUGGGAUUCCCUCUGCAUCCUCAAUAGUCUGCCCGCUCCCGGCCUGCACCACUAGAGAGGUCCGGGUUAGGUAGAUUUCCCUGCAGAUCCUGUGCUAACCCUGGGAGCCCAAACUAAAAUAAAAACAUGAAGAAGUUGAGGCUUAAGGAACUAGAGAGUCGCCUGCAGGAAGUGGAUGGAUUCGAGAAUCCCAAGUUACUCCUAGAACAGUACCCCACCAGGCCACACAUUGCAGCAUGCAUGCUAUAUACAAUCCAUAAUACAUAUGAUGACAUUGAAAAUAAAGUGGUUGCAGAUCUAGGAUGUGGUUGUGGAGUACUUAGCAUCGGGGCUGUGAUGUUAGGGGCAGGGUUGUGUGUUGGAUUUGACAUAGACGAAGAUGCACUGGAAAUAUUUACUAGGAAUGUGGAAGAGUUUGAGUUAACAAACAUUGAUAUGAUUCAGUGUGAUGUGUGCUCAUUAUGUAACAAAAUGUCCAAAGUAUUUGAUACCGUAAUUAUGAAUCCUCCCUUUGGAACCAAAAAUAACAAAGGUACAGAUAUGGCUUUUCUGAAGACUGCUUUGGGAAUGGCAAGAACAGCAGUAUAUUCUUUACACAAAUCCUCAACUAGAGAACAUAUUCAAAAGAAAGCUGCAGAAUGGAAAGUCAAGAUAGAAAUUAUUGCAGGUAUUCAGUCAUCCAGGCCCUGACAGAAGAUUACUAUCAUCAGUGAGUGAAAACAUGGACCUGGACAUGGUAGGACUGCUGUGAAGUCCACUAUCUGUAAAUGCCAGUGAUUUAUUUUUGAUACAUAGCUCAACACCAACCUUUCCUUUUCUGGUGGGAAUAUAAACAUCCACAAUAUAAGAAGAGAUGCCUUUUUUUUUCCAUUUUACUAAGUUAAGUUUGCCCACAACACAACAGGAAAACCAUUAGAAAACAGAAGUCAUCCAGUAAUUUUGAGAAACUUGAAAUAAACAAGACUGGCUUGUGGUAGUGUGCUUCCUUAGCACACACAAGCGAAAACAGGGGAAAUUAAAUGUGCAAUAAAAGGAACAUUUUUAUUUGUUUGGAAGCAUGGUUUCUCUGCGUUUUUCUUUCUCUCCUUCCCUCCCUCCCUAACUACCUGUAGGUGUCUAAGAACUCACAAAGCCUACUAGAUUAGGCCUUGUCUGCCUCUGUUUCCCAGUCCUGAGAGUAAAUGCACAUGCCAUCAUGCCUAGCCAUAGUUUGCCAUGAAUUGGUCCUAUGAUGUUAAAGGAUCUACCCAAAUUCUUCAUAAAGACAUGUCUGUCUUCCUAUUAAGUGUUGUCACAGAACUCAGUACAGAGCAGUUUAUAUUAGUCCCAACCGUAUACUAAUCCAGACCUUUGAGUGGUCUUCACAUCAUCAGCUUUAACAACCCUGGAGCUACACAAACAACAAGAUUCCCAGAUGACUUGGUCACAUAUUAUAAAGAGCUAUGGCCUGUAAGCUAUAUCCUUAUAUAGUUAUGUCUAAUUACAUUAGAAAUUACAAAAGAUACUACUGGUCAAUGGUGAAAGUAUAGAGAAUUUAUGUUAUAAAUUAGAAAGGGCUGGGGUAGUAGUGGCACACGCUUUAAUCCCAGCACUUAGUAGGCAGAUGCAGGUGGAUCUCUGUUGAGUUCAAGGCCAGCUUGGUCUACGAGGCAAGUUCCAGGACAGCUAGGACUGUUACACAGAGAAACCCUGUCUCAAAAAUCAAAAAAUAAAUACAUAAAUAAAUUAGGAAGGAAUGUGAAAAAUGGACCUUCAUUUUGUUAGUGGAAAAAAUAACUAGGACUAUCCAUUAUUAAAACAUGGACAGGCAAUUUUUGAAGCAUGAAUAUCAUAUUAUCAGCUAUAGAUACAUCUGAUUUUCAUAGAACUCCCCCCCAUGCUUGUGAAUUCUUUUAACUAAUCUCCAUAACCUCAAAUUUUGACAUGUGAUCAAAACAGCAGAAACACUAUGCACAACUUGACAUGUAAGUAUUCAAGGGUAUGUCCAAAGUGAUGGAUGUAAAAUGUUAUGCAUACCAGCACCUAAUACUUUAAAGGUGAUGUUUGGCUUGUUUUACAGAGCUUCGAUAUGACCUGCCAGCAUUAUACAACUUUCAUAAAAAGAAAUCAGUGGACAUUGAAGUGGACCUAAUUCGCUUUUCUUUUUAAAAGCUUCUGAAGACAAAAAGCAGCUUAAAAUCUAACUAAGAUGAAUAAAAACACUGCUUACUAAACUA